rnacentral:rRNA from 1 species
AACGAACGCUGGCGGCAGGCUUAACACAUGCAAGUCGAACGGACGUAGCAAUACGUUAGUGGCAGACGGGUGAGUAACGCGUGGGAAUAUGCCCUUUAGUUCGGAAUAACUCAGGGAAACUUGAGCUAAUACCGGAUAAGCCCGAGAGGGGAAAGAUUUAUCGCUAAAGGAGUAGCCCGCGUCUGAUUAGCUAGUUGGUGAGGUAAUGGCUCACCAAGGCGACGAUCAGUAGCUGGUCUGAGAGGAUGAUCAGCCACACUGGGACUGAGACACGGCCCAGACUCCUACGGGAGGCAGCAGUGGGGAAUAUUGGACAAUGGGGGCAACCCUGAUCCAGCCAUGCCGCGUGAGUGAUGAAGGCCUUAGGGUUGUAAAACUCUUUUGUCCGGGAAGAUAAUGACUGUACCGGAAGAAUAAGCCCCGACUAACUUCGUGCCAGCCGCCGCGGUAAAAC